rnacentral:lncRNA from 1 species
UGCUUUUACAUAGCACUAUAUUUUUAUUUCAGGCUGCUUUUCUAAAACACCUAACAUUGGAGAUAAAUAGGAGGUCAUGUUUUAAAUGCAAUAUAUUGGUGGUGGGAGUAACACAGUGUGCCAUCCAUCAUUUGGAAUAAAUAAAAAUUUCAGAAUCUGUCAUGCAAACAAUCUCUAUGAACAAUUAUUUAAUACCAAUACAAAGACAAAAGACGUAGGGGAGUUGUCCCAGCCUGGCAAGUAGAGAGAAUACAAGAAACUGCAACUCAGAUUAUCCUGUUCCAAAGUUCUUCAAUAGUUCUACUCCUUGUCUAUUUAUGUCACCACCAAUCCAGAGCUACUGUAGCCCAAGGAAUUCCUCACUUUCUACCUGCAGGUCUGUUAAGUAAGGACAAUUAUUCUGCAAAGAGGUGACAAGUCCUUUACAGAAAAUGUUGAAUUCUAGGGUAGAAAAUUGUGCAGUAAUGAAAUGUCAGUAAGACCACAAGGAGCCAACUCCACUGCAACAGCGACUGCAGACAGGGACUGUCCAGGUACCACAGUGAACAAAGCGGGUACAGAGCACAGCAUCCACUUAUUGUCUUCAGGGAUGCUUUUGGCAUGACUCUCUCAGAGAUAAAUUUACUGUUGAGCUACAACACUCUACAUUUGAAAAAACAGAAAGUAAAAAGUCUUUCUUUAAGAACAGUUGGUAUUGUCAAUCCUUAAGCUAUUUAUAUCAAUAGGACUUGGACCAUGCAGGUAUCUGUGGGAUGUGCCGACCUUCAGAGGAAGUCCUAAGAAGUCAGCAUUGUGGAGCUUUGAUAGAUGAGGUCACGCUUAGUGAACUGAAGCUCAUCUUUUAUUCAGUAGAUGUAACCUCAGUUUUAUUCAACUGAACAAGUUCUGCUACUCCAACACUCAAGAGUAUUGACUGCUGUUUCAGAGCUUUGAUAUACCAUUCAUUUUGUAAAGGCAAUUUACAGGGUGUUUCAACUUUGGCUAUAGAUAACCAAGUUAUGGGGAGGAUGAAAGGGUUCCAUGAUAUUGCAGUAUAAUUGAACAAAUGCAUGAUUCUUUUUACCAUUAUAUAAGGGAAACUAAAAAAGCAAUACGGCAGUCUUUUAAAAAAGGAGAUAAACUAUAUAGGUUACUAAACCAAAGAAUCACAGCUAAAUAUAUUUUUUUUAUUUUUGCAGAAAAGAGGAAAUAAAGAAAAUGGAGUAAAGACUAUUUUCACCAAGGCCUGCCCUUAAAGGAGCUAAGCACCUCAAAUUAAAUUCGUGCUUCUUAGUUCUCACUUUCCCUUAAUAUUGGCAUAACUCCGCCACGGCAUUCUGCCAAUUAUCAUCAGAGUGAGAAACAGGGCAUUAACCUUCUUUUUUUCAAGGGACAAAGUUCUUAAGAAACAAUUGAUUACUGCUUGCCCAGGGUCUGCACAUAAAACAGGAAUUCUCUUGCGGAAUCUACUAUUUGUGGGAUAAACCUUGAAGAAAAAAAAUUCAGUCUGAACAUAUGUAUUGCUUUACCAGUCGCUGAAUUAUCAUAGUCUUAUUUUUUCCUUCUUUUCUUCUUAACUAU